GCCUGGAUAGCUCAGUAUGUAGAGCGUGAGACUCUUAAUCUCAAGGUCAUGGGUUCGAGCCCCACGUUGGGCA